rnacentral:rRNA from 1 species
GCAUAGCUGGGUAGCUAUGUGUGGACGGGAUAAGUGCUGAAAGCAUCUAAGCAUGAAGCCCCCCUCAAGAUGAGAUUUCCCAACUUCGGUUAUAAGAUCCCUCAAAGAUGAUGAGGUUAAUAGGUUCGAGGUGGAAGCAUGGUGACAUGUGGAGCUGACGAAUACUAAUCGAUCGAAGACUUAAUCAA